rnacentral:rRNA from 1 species
CCCGCUGAACUUAAGCAUAUCAAUAAGCGGAGGAAAAGAAACUAACAAGGAUUCCCCUAGUAACUGCGAGUGAAGCGGGAAGAGCUCAAAUUUAAAAUCUGGCGGUCUCGCGGCCGUCCGAGUUGUAAUCUGGAGAAGCGUUUUCCGCGUCGGACCGUGUACAAGUCUUCUGGAACGGAGCGUCGUAGAGGGUGAGAAUCCCGUCUCUGACACGGACAGCCGAUGCUUCAUGUGAUACGCUCUCGAAGAGUCGAGUUGUUUGGGAAUGCAGCUCAAAAUGGGUGGUAAAUUCCAUCUAAAGCUAAAUAUUGGCGAGAGACCGAUAGCGAACAAGUACCGUGAGGGAAAGAUGAAAAGCACUUUGGAAAGAGAGUUAAACAGUACGUGAAAUUGCUGAAAGGGAAACGCUUGAAGUCAGUCACGUUGGCCAGGGAUCAACCUUGCUUUUGCUUGGUGUACUUUCUGGUUGAUGGGUCAGCAUCAAUUUUGACCAUUGGAAAAAGGUCAAGGGAAUGUGGCAUCUUCGGAUGUGUUAUAGCCCUUGGUUGCAUACAAUGGUUGGGAUUGAGGAACUCAGCACGCCGCAAGGCCGGGUUUUUAACCACGUACGUGCUUAGGAUGCUGGCAAAAUGGCUUUAAUCGACCCGUCUUGAAACACGG